AGAGCGAACGCUGGCGGCGUGCUUAACACAUGCAAGUCGAACGAGGUCUGUAGCAAUACAGAUACUCGUGGCGAACGGGUGCGUAACACGUGGAUAACCUUCCUUCAGGUGGGGAAUAACCCAGUGAAAAUUGGGCUAAUACCGCAUAACAUGACGAUGCCACAUGGUGUUGUCUUCAAAGGCGCAAGUCGCCAGAAGAGGGAUCCGCGGCCGAUUAGCUAGUUGGCGAGGUAAUGGCUCACCAAGGCAAUGAUCGGUA
rnacentral:rRNA from 1 species